GCAAAAUACCCUAUUAUUUUCUACUCGAAACAAAAACAAACAGCACCAAAAUUCGCCUCUUCUCUCUCGAUUCCUAUCUUCUCCACCGAAAUCGAAAUCUCUCUUCAUCCUCAUCAAUUUCCCACCAUCAACUUCGAAUAAUCUUUACUUAAUUUCGACUUUAAAGUUCAGAGUUUCAAUUUGAUUGAAUAUUCAAUCAUCAUCAUCUAAACUGUAACCUAAAUUCGAAAUUGGGUCAAUUAAUUGAAUCAGUUCAGAAUGUGGUGAGUAUUAUCAACAAAUACUUCCUGAUUAAUUUGGGUGAAUAGUCUUCUCUUCAGGGUUUUCAGCUCUCUUCCUGGAGGAAGGUAAGAGACUAAGAGGUCUCUGAUCUUGGCGCAUGUAGUAUUUUCAAUCAAGAUAUUGUUGGGGUGCUAACAAAUUUGCAAGUUACAAAGAGGCCUACAGGUAAGGAGUGGCAGAUGCAACUGCAAGGAACUGGCAAUUGUGAGCUUGAGUUUUUUCAUUUACUAGCACGAGACUGCAAGCGAGAACCACAAACAUUAUGACCAGAAUCCGUUGAUCCCAAAAAAUACAAUACAUGUGUGGUAGAAUUUCCUGAGUUGUCAACAUAGUUAUCACUUAUUAACAUGUUUCGUGUGAUAUGCAUUUUUGGUUAUGGUGAAAGUGGCUGCCAAUAGAACUGCACCAGAGCAAUAAACCAUAUCCACACUGAUGUUACUACACGAAACAUGUAGAUUGUAUUUGAAUUGUAAAAAACUCGAUGUUUGCCAAGGUGCGUUGAAUUUGAAUUAUGAGACUCGGUGGUUGGCAACGUGCGUUCGAUUUUCAGGUUAGUUUGAAACUAAUUCAUUUUCUAAUUUCAGUUCUUUAUUGGGCAUAUCAUGUUAAAUCAAUGCUUUCAGUUCGGGUUUUGAUAGUAAAAAUAGGUAGAAGAAAAAUCUUGACUUAUUGCUAUUGCAAGAUUGCACAGUCUUAGUGAAUUUUCGGAUUAUAAGGCUAUUUCAAAUUUGCAGCAGCUUUGAUAAAAUAUUCGUUUUGCGCCCAGAUGCUUUGAUGUAAACUAUUAUAGCGCAUGUCUUCUACACACUCGCCAUCCAUUUUAGUUUAGUUAUAUUAAGUGCAGUUAUGUUAUUCAUUUGUUUGAAGCAAGGUUUGCCGAGAACAAAGCCAGUAACUCUAAAAAAAUGGUUCAACCAAGUGGUGGCUCAACCAAGUAGUGGCUCCAAACCACAUGUGAAAUGUGUGACCGAGGUUAGUUUUAGGGUGUACAGUUCAACAAUUGGUAAGGUUUUCAUAUGUUGAACACAGAAAAAAGCAUGAAUACAACUUUAUCAGUUAGCAGCUAAGCUGAAAAGCCCCCUCACAUCUCAGAAGAUACACGAUGCUUCCCAUACAAAACGGAGGCUCCGGAAACUCUUCCUGGAAAUUCUAUGGCUUCUUCUUCCCUUAUGUUUUCAUUUUCAUUUUCUUAAUCACUGUUUCUGUAUGUCUUCCCUACAAAAUAACCUAUCAUCUGGGAAUGGUUGUUGACUCUGUGGCUGUACAUUCCUAUAGAAAAUUGGGUAGUCGUCUCCCAUCUAUGCCUCUCUUAAACCCGUUCGUUCAUUGUUUAAUAAAUAGCAAGCUAAUUAUUUUUUUC